CGCCCAUCAGCUGGUCCGAGCACGUGUAGUUGUCAAAGCACGUGUUCCUUCUUAUAGGGAUUCCCGUAUCUUGUCUCUGAGGGAGAAUUAGUGGUGAGAUAAUUGGAGCUAGAGAAACCUCACUAACCAAAGAAGAGAGAAGUCGAGAUAGAAGACAGUAACGAGGAAGAAAAUACCUGCUGCAGCUCUAGCUAAGGCCACAGGAGUAAACAAAAAAAAACAAAAAAACAGAAGCUGUGGUUUUCUCAGUAAUGGAGGCGGGGCAGAGUGAAGGAAAAUCAAGAUCAGUGGCUUCUAGAAUGCAGGAAGGAGUCAUGAAUGCAAAAUGGAAGAAGAAAGGAUGAAGAAAAUAUUAACCCCAUUGAAAAUGAUGGCCUAAGAAUGGUGAAUGGCAGAGCUGAGGUCUAGGAAUUAGCAGCAAAAUCCCAUUCCUUAACUGAAGUAAUUCUAUAAGAACUACUAUCAAGGGACCAAAACUGAAUUGAAAGCUGUUUCCAGCGCCAAAGCAGAGAGAUUGUGGAGGAAGCCUUCAUGUAUGCUGAUUAUGAAAUGGAUGAUUGCCUUAGAAUGUAAUAGUAGACAGAAGGCUGAAAUUGCAUUACAGAGAGGUGAAGUAAACAAGAAUUAAAUAGAUGUCGGCAGCUCAGACAAAAAAAACAUUGUAUUGUCUGGAAAAUUUGAACUGCUGUGUAUAUUUUCUUCCCAAAGGAAACUAGGAAACUUCAAAGAUGUAUUUAUCUUUACAUUAAAUAUGCCUAUUAUGUGUUGAAGUCAUCAGAUAGGGACAUGCAUGUGUGUGUUCAUCUGACUUUCAUUUACAAAAUAUGAUAGUUAUAAUGAUAAUAA